rnacentral:rRNA from 1 species
AACGAACGCUGGCGGCAUGCCUAACACAUGCAAGUCGAACGAUUGCCUUCGGGUGAUAGUGGCGCACGGGUUCGUAACGCGUGGGAAUCUGCCCUUAGGUUCGGAAUAACAGCUGGAAACGGCUGCUAAUACCGGAUGAUAUCGCGAGAUCAAAGAUUUAUCGCCUGAGGAUGAGCCCGCGUUGGAUUAGGUAGUUGGUGGGGUAAAGGCCUACCAAGCCGACGAUCCAUAGCUGGUCUGAGAGGAUGAUCAGCCACACUGGGACUGAGACACGGCCCAGACUCCGACGGGAGGCAGCAGUGGGGAAUAUUGGACAAUGGGCGCAAGCCUGAUACAGCAAUGCCGGGUGAGAGAUGAAGGCCCUAGGGUUGUAAAGCUCUUUUACCCGGGAAGAGAAUGACUGUACCGGGAGAAUAAGCCCCGGCUAACUCCGUG